CCGUAGUUCAGUUGGGUAGAACACCGGCGGACGCAGCCGGAGGUCAGGGGUUGGAUUCCCCUCGGUA
rnacentral:tRNA from 1 species